GUCUUCUUGUUAUGUUUAGGAAGUCUGGCCUGCCCAGUGAAAAUAAUUUAACGGCCGCGGUAUACUGACCGUGCAAAGGUAGCAUAAUCAUUAGUCUUUUAAUAGAGGGCUGGUAUGAAGGGUUUAACGAGGUGUUGACUGUCUCAUUUAAUUUGAAUUUAGAAUUUAAUUUUUUAGUUAAAAAGCUGAAAUAUUAUUGGAAGACGAGAAGACCCUAUAGAGCUUUAUAUUUUUAUUAAUAAUUUAUUAUAGAUUAUUAUUAUUUAUUAUUACUAUAAAUAUUUUGUUGGGGUGACAAAAAUAUAUAAAUAACUUUUUUAUCUAUUAUACAUUGAUAUAUGAGUAUUAGAUCCAAUCUUAUUGAUUGUUAGAUUAAGUUACCUUAGGGAUAACAGCGUAAUCCCUCUCCAGAGUUCAUAUUUACAGGGGGGCUUGCGACCUCGAUGUUGGAUUAAGAUAAUAAUUAGGUGCAGCCGCUUAAUUAAUAGGUCUGUUCGACCUUUAAAUUCUU
rnacentral:rRNA from 1 species